GGACAGUACUGACGCUGAGAUGCGAAAGCGUGGGGAGCAAACAGGAUUAGAUACCUGGUAGUCCACGCUGUAAACGAUGUCGAUUUGGAGUUUGUUGCCUAGAGUGAUGGGCUCCGAAGCUAACGCGAUAAAUCGACCGCCUGGGGAGUACGGCCGCAAGGUUAAAACUCAAAUGAAUUGACGGGGGCCCGCACAAGCGGUGGAGCAUGUGGUUUAAUUCGAUGCAACGCGAAGAACCUUACCUGGUCUUGACAUCCAUAGAAUUCUGCAGAGAUGUGGGAGUGCCUUCGGGAACUAUGAGACAGGUGCUGCAUGGCUGUCGUCAGCUCGUGUUGUGAAAUGUUGGGUUAAGUCCCGCAACGAGCGCAACCCUUAUUCUUUGUUGCCAGCGAUUUGGUCGGGAACUCAAAGGAGACUGCCGUUGAUAAAGCGGAGGAAGGUGGGAACGACGUCAAGUCAUCAUGGCCCUUACGACCAGGGCUACACACGUGCUACAAUGGCGUAUACAAAGGGAAGCGAAGGUGCGAGCUGGAGCGGAUCUCAUAAAGUACGUCUAAGUUCGGAUUGGAGUCUGCAACUCGACUCCAUGAAGUCGGAAUCGCUAGUAAUCGUAGAUCAGAAUGCUACGGUGAAUACGUUCCCGGGCCUUGUACACACCGCCCGUCACACCAUGGGAGUGGGUUGCACCAGAAGUAGAUAGCUUAACCGCGAGGGGGGCGUUUACCACGGUGUGAUUCAUGACUGGGGUGAAGUCGUAACAAGGUAACCA
rnacentral:rRNA from 1 species